CUCUAAAAAGCUAACUCGCAGCCUAAGACUUUUAAUCUUAUUACGGAUAAUUACAAUUAUCUUUAGAGA
rnacentral:tRNA from 1 species